UACGUAGGUGGCAAGCGUUGUCCGGAUUUACUGGGCGUAAAGAGCGCGCAGGCGGUCGUUCAAGUCGCGUGUGAAAGCCCCCGGCUCAACUGGGGAGGGUCACGCGAUACUGAUCGACUGGAAGGCAGGAGAGGGUAGUGGAAUUCCCGGUGUAGCGGUGAAAUGCGCAGAUAUCGGGAGGAACACCGGUGGCGAAGGCGGUUCUCUGGGCAUGUCCUGACGCUGAGGAGCGAAAGUGUGGGGAGCGAACAG
rnacentral:rRNA from 1 species